rnacentral:rRNA from 1 species
UACGAAGGGGACUAGCGUUGUUCGGAUUUACUGGGCGUAAAGCGCGCGUAGGCGGAUCGCUAAGUCAGGGGUGAAAUCCCAGGGCUCAACCCUGGAACUGCCUUUGAUACUGACGGUCUGGAGAUCGGGAGAGGUUGGUGGAAUUCCGAGUGUAGAGGUGAAAUUCGUAGAUAUUCGGAGGAACACCAGAAGCGAAGGCGGCCAACUGGCCCGAUACUGACGCUGAGGCGCGAAAGCCAGGGGAGCAAACGGG